GGGGGGGGGGGGGGGGGGGGGGGGGGGGGGGGGGGGGGGGGGGGGGGGGGGGGGGGGGGGGGGGGGGGGGGGGGGGGGGGGGGGGGGGGGGGGGGGGGGGGGGGGGGGGGGGGGCGGGGCGGGAGCGCGGCCGGGCCGGGCCGGGCCGGGCCGGGCCGGGCCAGGCACCCGUGUGUGUCCUUGUGCAUCAGAGUUCUCCCACAUCCCCUGAGUGCCAGGACUUGAAGAUGGGCCCUUCCCUGGAGCUGCCCAGACACAUGGCCAAGAACAAGCCAAGGAGAGCAGAGGGAAACUCUCCCAAGCAGGAGAAAGGAAAGGAAGGAAAUUCCAGUUACCAGGGAAUAGGUGUGCUCAGGUUUCCAGCACACCAGGAAGCAGAAACCGUGGGUGUUCAGUUUCUGGUUUCCUGCUGGCAGCAUCCUCAGCCAUGCUCUGUACCUGAGCCAUGGGGGUUUCAGAUUUGGUGUCUGGAGCUCUGCAGCCACUGCCUGUGUGUCCUGCUCAUCUCCUGUCUCUGCUGCCCUCUCGUGAUGCCUCUGGAUGUGCUGGGCUUGAGGGAAGACUUUGCCUUCCCCCAUCGACUCUGAGACGUCAACACCUGCACCAUUGUUAGAAGUACUUUCCAUUUCCAACAACAUUCAUAAUUCCUGAAUUUUACAAAACUUCACAAUCAACUGGUCCUUGUACUUGUGUGUUCUCCCCUAGUUACACAAGGGAGAUCCUCUAAAGGGCUCAUCCUGAAUCACCACUUGCAAAAGUUGUAUAUCAGCUGCUCCUUAAUCCAGACAGUGCCUUGGCUUUUAUUUUAUUUUUUUUUUAACUUAGCAGCUAAAAUCUCACAGUGAUUCAGCUUUUUUCAGCUUUUUUUUUUUUUUUUGAGGCAAACAGGUCUCUGUGCUCACCAUCAGUGAGCAGCUCCCUGUUCUCCUCUGCCUUGGUCUGCAGUGCUGCACUUGGCUUUGCCACCCCCCCUGUGCAAUCACUGCGUGUGCCACCCACCAUCCCUGGGUCACACCCACCUGCCCUGGGUCACUAUGAAACCUCUGAGUCCUGGUUUUAUCCAGACCUGAGGAAAUCACUGCUUAUUCCCAGGAAGACACCUGCUUUCUGGGACACUGCUCAGUGAACAGCUGUGUGAGGCUGGCAUGGGAUUAAUUGGAAUUAAGCCCCAGGCAAGUGUAAGAGAUUGGCCAAGGAGAUGGUGAGAUUCCAUGCUUGGAGAUUUUAAAAGUUGGGCUGGACACAGCUCUGAGCAACCUGGCAGAAGUUUGAAGUUGUUCUGCAGAGUGGAUAUUUGGGCUGGAGACCUGGAGGGCGAAGCUUGGGCUGCACAGACAGAACGUGGUGUUUUGGGGAUGAACUUCCUGGGGGCGAGCCCCGAUACAUGAGACACGAGUCUGGAGAAGGGGGUUUCACACAGCUUUCCCCAGGCAGCCUCUUCCCAGAAGACUGGGCUGGGAAAAUCCCAGGAAGACUUACUCAGGCUUUCCUCAGGAUGCCUAAAUUAAGGCAGCUGAAUCCCAGCCUGAGGGGCUGUCUGAUAGACUCAGUGAGCUGAAAAUACCUUCUCCUGGAAAUCCUGCACUCUGCAUUUCCUGCAAGGAGCCAGGAGUGGCCCUCUGUGUGCAAAGCAGCUCCUGGGGCAGAUUCCUCCCCUCCUGGCUCCCACAGCCUGCUCCUGCCUGGAGGCAGCUGCCCCAGCCCGAGCUGCCCUUGCUGUGCAGCCCCCACACAUCAUCACUCUCUCCAAAAACCCCACACCUGCACUGCCCUGGAGCUGGGGCAGCCCCGUGUUUCGUGCACAGAACCACCCAGUAACCCCCUGCUCAACACAGAAAGAAAUGGUGGAACUGUGUGAGAAAGGACCACUGGUGAUUUCUAGUUCAACCAGCCCUUAAUCAACCCACUUUUUCUCAGCAUGUCCCAUGGUUUUAGGGAUGCCCCAGGGUUCUGCCAAGAAGAUAUCUGUCCUGGUUUGAAGGACAGGUAUCUGCCAAUAAAGGCAGAAGCUUCUCUUUGAAAUGGAGAAUGUAAACCCCCUCUCUCCAAAUUAUUAUAAUUUUGAAAUUAAGGGGCUCUCAGGCAAAGAU
ensembl:lncRNA